UCAUGUCUGGCCUCCUACCUCAGUAGGUUAGGAGUAUUCACCUAGAAUAGCCUCAAUUUACAGUGAGCUUAUUGGGAUGUAACUCCAUCAUAAGUCGAAGAGCAUCUGUACUUAGCCUAGAAAACAAUUUAUAAGUAGCAGACACAGAACCCUCCUAUAAUUAAUUGGCCCCAAAGCCACACUGGGAACUAGCUCAGAGCAAACCAAAUGACCAGCCAGCAGCUCCCCCUCUCCAGCUUACUAGUACAUGAGUUGAAAAAUGAGCCUAGUUUGCAUUUUUCAGAAUAUACCUUUAGUUGGUCCUUAUAGGAACUACGAUCAUGUUAGGUCACUGACUUUCAGUAAUUAGAUCUAUGCUGUCCAGUAGAAACUUCUGAAACGUUCUAUAUCUGUGCUAAAACAGCAGCCACUAACCACAUGUAGCUAUUGAGCUAAUGUGAUUGAAGAAAUGAAACUUUAAUUUUAUUUACUUUAAAUUAAUUUUAAUUUAAAUAGCUGCAUGUGGCUGGCAGCUACUGUGUUAGUAUAGAAUUAGAGAUCUUACUUGGACAGCCACAAUACACCUCAUGGAUGCUUCUACUUUGGGCCAGUAUAUUUUCCCAACCAGGUAGUGCUUAGAAAUAUUCUACCUCUUUUCCUAAAGAGCAUUGGCCUCAGAUUCUUAAUGUUUAUUCAGCUAGAAAUUGCAUAGAUUUCCUCACCUUGCAUCUAUGGCCUGCUUCCCUACUCCAACCCCAACCCCUAUACACAUACUCCAUUCACACCUGUGGCCACUUACUGCCAAUCCUUUUAAAGGAAACUUGGGACAUAAAAAGUCCCCCAAACCAUGAGCAGUAGGUCUAUGUAGGUUUCCUUCCCAUUUCUAGCCCACUGAACUGAGGGCCACUGGUAUCUCUAAUUUUGAAUCAGUUUCAUUUUUUUUAUGGUGCACAAAAUCUCAAAACUAGCUGAUCAUUUCAAAAGCCAGUGGAGUACCAAAUGCGGUUGCACACUAUGAUCUCUAGAUUUAAUUCAGACUAAACAGGAAUGAGGUGCUGCUGGAGAGCUUGCCUCAUACUGAGCAGGCAGCAAGGGUCCAUGUCAGCUCUAAGCAUCUGCCAUACCCCAACCACUAGACUGAUGAGCAUUGCUUUGGGAAGCCCCACCAGCAAGGAUGAGAUGUUCAGAAGAAAGCUAUUUUCUUUUAUAGAAAAAUAAUAAGACCACUGUUAAAUGUUCAGGGGGAGCACUCAGUUUGUCAGUGUUGGUCAUGGGCUGGCCUCUGUCUGGGGCAAGUCCUGUCCCUGGUAUAGUGUGCCCACAGCCAGGGGCACUCAUGGACCCGCCCCUGGGGAACAGAAGAAACAGUUCUCCUUAGGGCAGAGUGAGCUGGCUCCCUGUGGAAUGGACCUUCUCUGCUGGAAAUUCUGGAGGCUGACUCUGGAGGGUUCACGGAUCAGAGCUGUUCAUUCCUCACUGUGACAUUUGGUCCUGAGGGAAAGAUCCCAUCCCUACUAACCUCUGUUCAGCCCAUCAGGGGCCUUAUAUUGUUAUUCUCUCUUUCUUUUUGUCUCUGAUAAAAUCAUACACUAAUAUGAUUGAUUAUAACUUUUUUUUUGAGAUAGCAUCUUAUUCUAUGCAGGCUGGAGUUCAAUGGCAUGCUCAUAUAGCUCACUGUAAUCUCGAACUCCCAGGCUCAAGAGAUCAUCCCACCUCUGCCUCCUAAGUAGCUGGGACUACAGGGGCUCACUACUGCACCCAGAUAGUUUUUUAUUUUUAGUAUACACAGGGUUUUGCCAUGUUGCCCAGGCUGGUUUUUAACUCUUGGGCUAAAGUGAUCCUCCCACUUUGGCCUCCCAAAGUGCUGGGAUUACAGGUGUGAACCACCAUGCCUGGCUAAUUAUAACAUUUGGAAGUACUGGUCUCUUAGGUCAAAAUGACAACUAGAGCCAGAAAACAUAGUUUAUUAAAAUCAUUCAACUGAAGAGGCAGAAAAGAACCUUUGAAUAAUCUUGUCUUGUAUCUUGAGAGAACUUCUGGUCACCAACAUCUUUUCCAAUAAAUUCAGUUAGCAAGGGAGUUGUGGAGAGAAGGACAGAUGAUGAGGAUGAUAAUUACUCUCAUUCAGAACAUCGCUCUGCUCUUGUAAAUCUGGGAUGCUUUCCUUGGAGGUACAGCUGUGUAGAUAAUGGCCAGCCCUUAUUUAUUGCUCUUCAGACUGGGUUUUCUGGUCCUCAGACAGGAUUCCAGAGGAUUGUUGCAAAUCAGAAUAAUACCUAACCUUUAACAAACUAUCUCUCAACUUCCCCUGCACAUUUCAUGCUAAGAAUUUGCACUGGUAAAUCGUAGCACUCUGAGAGGUCCUGAGAAUACAGGGGCUUAGAGUGAGCCCACCUGACCUGCAGUGUCUGGUCAGACAGGGCUAAGGUGGCCUGCCUGUCAACCUCUAUGACUGCCUAACAGCUGCAGUAAUAUAAAAACCUAGACAGCUUCCUAGUCAGGAGGUAUAUAAAGGACAGGGCAACCAUGAAGUCUAGUCUAAAUUGAGAGUUCCAAAAAAUGAUCAAAGAAGCUUGAAUUAUGUGUAAGCAGGUAGAAAUCAUGAAGUUUGGUAAAACUAGUCAGUGCUGGAAGAUUUGACUUUGAUAUAAUGAAAUCAAACCAAGAAGAAUUAAUGAGAGAGAGAGGGAGAGAAUGACAGAGAGAGACCUAACCAGACCCACAAAUGGAAGAAAUCCCCUUUCCUCUUGCUUAAAUAUGAAAAAGCAAAGAAAUGGGAAAUCCCCCAAAAAAGAGUAUGUCUGAUACCUUAUUCCUUAUUAGGAAUAAGGAAUAAUUUGGCCAGGCUGGUCUUAUACCUUAUUACUUUUAAUCUGUUCUUUCACCUGAAAGCUCCCAAAUAGUCAUUUUGGGUAAGACUGAGGCCAGAAUCUUCAAACUUUGUUAUUCCUGUUAAGUGUUGUGUAGAAACUGAGUUGAGAGGUUGUGGGGGGAGAGAACAUUUCUCUAACAAUUUAUUAAAUAAAAGUAAUUUUCUCACUCUUUAAGACAUAGCAGAUAAAUAGGCACACUAUCAUAAGUGCUAAUAAAUAGGCUUCCCUAUCAUAGAUGCUAAUCAUUAUAUGAUAGGGAAGCUUGAAAAAUUACAUUAGUUGAAUAGAGAGAGAUAUUUCUAGAGAGAGAAAAGUGACAAAAGAGCAGGGGAAGGGGCAGAGUUAAAAACAACAAAACCCAACACCACCAGCUUUACAAAUGACAAGUAGCAACAGACAAGAGUGGCUGGAGUCAAGGAAGAGACUGGAAUCCCAAGAACUGUGCUUUGCAGGACAAUGGAGACUCAAAGUCCAGCACACAGGCCCACCCACAAUGAGGUGAAAACUCUCCCAGCUUGGAAGCUGGCCUCCAUGAGUUCCAUGGAGGUCAUGUAAGCCCAGGCUAGGUCAGCACCAGACUCCAGGUGUGUUCCAGGUGUGCUGACCCGCAGCAGAGGGCCUGUCUGGAGACGAGUCACACUCACCACCACAGCGGGACACACAGCACCCCCGGCACCGUCAGCGCCAGCAGCAGCAUCCGCCAGUCUCUGAUGAGGUAAGCAAACAGUGGCAGCAGCAUAUAGCCAACUGCAAAAAAGGUGCAUACUCCUAACGUAGAGAAUAUAAUACGAACUGACUUGCCAAGAAUUUCUGUUCCUGUUCAAAACAAGGGAGGAGUAUUAGCAUUUUAACUCAUUUUAAUGUUUGCUUUUUAUAUCAUUAUGUGGCAGGUAGAGUUCAAACUAUCAUCACUUAGAAAAGGGAAAAGGCAUUUGCCUCAUGGCCCAGAGCAGGCAUGGUCAGGGUGGAUAAAGGUGGGAAGUGAUCUGAGACUUGGCAACUUACAGAAGGUUGAAUUUCCAUGAGAUUUUUAAAGACGCCAUAGAUUUAUUUAUUUAUUUAUUUUUGAGAUGAAGUCUCCCUCUGUUGCCCAGGCUGGAGUGCAGUGGCGAGAUCUCGGCUCACUGCAACCUCCACCUCCUGGGUUCAAGUGACCUUCCCACCUUGCCUUCUGAGUACCUGGGACUACAGGCACAUACCACCAUGCCUGGCUAAUUUUUGCAUUUUUUGUAGAGACAGGGUUUUGCCAUGUUGGCCAGGCUGGUCUUGAACUCCUGACCUCAAGUGAUCCACCUGGCUGGGCCUCCCAAAGUGCUGGGAUUACAGCCAUGAGCCACCACGCCAGCCACUUUUUUUUUUUUUUUAAAGGCCAUUCUAUGUUAUAGAAAUAUCAUGCGAGCUCCAAGAGCUAAUCCUUUCUGAGAAUGCCACAUUUCCAAAAUAAGCCCCAACAUGAGAAGCAGAGAGAGCAUUUCAGGAGACAAGCAGUGGCUCUUCUGAAGGGCUGUGUGGGGUCACGGUAUGUGUAGCCUUUCCCACAGUUCUGAACUGUAAAUAAACGGACACUGGCCCAUCAGGAGGCAGAGGAGAGUUCACUGUUUCUAAGACCUCAAGAUGCACUUACCCAUGCCUGAGCCCUGAGAAACUGGUUGGAGUGAGCUGGCUCUGGAGGUGCACAGAGCAGGCCUUCAGCACCCAGGACUGAAUUCCCUGCAGCCAUGCUGUACCCAGAGAUCAGCCCAGGCAGACACAGUCCAUUUGCACCAAGGAAAGAAAAGCAGGAGCUGUUCUGCUGCCCCUGCAGGCAGUAGCCCUGGACCUGGCCACACACCCAGUGAACUCCACAGUUUUCCCAGAACAGCACAAAGGCCCAUGACUGCUCGAUGUGGGCACUGCUUUUUGGGAAAGGACAUGCAAAUGACUGUUGGCCUCUGCUCUGCUCAGUACUGCAGUGGAUUACUUGGCAUUCCAGAGUCAUUGUCUGUCCCUUAGAGACCGGGGAGUCCCAGAACAAAGCUCCUUCUCUUGUCAUGGAGCUCCAGCCACUUUCCACAGUCUGCCCUUGGUUCUCUACCCUUGGGGGUGGAGAUUUGACUGCCUUUUGUUGGGGAUCUGCACACACUACAGAGAAGAAGUGUCUCAGAAGACACAAAACAGAUAAUUCAAAGGUCAUUCAUGAUUGGCUUUCAAGAGAGAUUUUCUCAAUCAUGUUUAUAUGCUCUGGGCACAGGCUAAAGGAUUAAGGGCUAAUUCCAGAGAAGCAGUAAAAUUACUACUUUGACUGGUUUCUCAUUUUACCACCUACCUGUGCUCAUCCCACCCCUCUUAUUUUCUCUCACUGUUCCUAACUGAGAGAUCUGCCUCAGUGGGUCCCUCUUGAGAGGCCAUGUAAAAAAGCCAGACUGACAGAAACAGCCAGUACUUUGUGCCUUCUGCAUACCAUGUUGCAGACAGUUGCCCUAAUCACCCAGAGCAUUGCUCAGUCUAGAAACAUUUCCAAGCAUAGGGCCCGACUUCUUUGAGGAUCAUGAGUGUGAUUUUCAGGUCUUUUCUUACCUCAUUAGUGACCUUCCUGCUAUGCACUGGUUUCUAAACCCUUUGGCUAUGAUUAUGAUGUGGAAACAAACAGAGGGUGCUUUAUUCCUAAGCAGAGAUUCAGAAGUGAAGCAGCAGAGGGUGUGAUUUUGGAAAAGAGAAAGUGCAUAGGAUCAAGUGAGAAUUUUGUAGAAUUGUGAGGGCAGGAAAGCUUUCUCCUACCAUUGUGACCUUGUUAAGAAAAGAGGUUAUACCACUGGGUUCCUGGAUAAUCUCCGUCUCUAAACGUGGGACUCAGACCAGAACAGAGUUAUAUAACUUUGCAGAGUGCAUGCUGGGGACAGAGGCUUUGUAGGUCUGUCUUUUUGCCUUCCUGUGGACAGCAUGGAUGGUACAAAUUGAAAUAAUUCCUUUUUAGCCCUACUUCCUGCUCUCUGACUUUUAGGCAGUCACCCUUCCUUAAACAGGAUCACCAUCUUCACAGAUAGCUUUUUUUUUUUGGAGUAAGUACUUUGAGACAGGUUCCAGGCUAAGUGUUUACGUAUAUUAUCUCUUUGAUCUUUCAUACCCGUUAUAUAAAAACUAAUAUUCCAGGCUGGGCAUGGUGGCUCACACCUGUAAUCCCAGCACUUUGGGAGGCUGAGCCAGGAGGAUCACCUGAGGUCAGGAGUUUGAGACCAGCCUGACCAAUAUGAUGAAACCCUAUCUCUACUAAAAAUAGAAAAAAAUUAGCCAAGAGUGGUGGCGCAUGCCUGUAAUCCCAGCUACUCGGGAGGCUGAGACAGGAGAAGCGUUUGAACCCAGGAGGUAGAGGUUGCAGUGAGCUGAGAUCACACGAUUGCACUGCGGCCUGGGCAACAAGAGCGAAACUCUCUCCCUGCAAAAAAAAAAACAACCAAAAAAUAAAAAAAAACCCUAAUAUUCCUCCUGUUUUAUACAUAAUUAACUGAGACUUCAGAGUUAAAGCCAGUUGCCUAAAUUCAUGCACGUAAUAGGUGGUGUACCAGGAUUUAAGCCUUAUUUGUUCUAUGGAUACUGGUCUACCUUCCAAGAAAAAAAUUGCUGGGGACAAGCCUUGGUCCUAUAAAGUAGUUCUUCAACUGAGAUUCCAGUAGGGACAUGAGGGGAGGUGGUUAAGUCCAUAUCUUGCUUUCAUUUUUUCAGUUUUCUUUUUCUUUCUUUUUUUUUUUUUUUUUUGAGACAGAUGCUUUCUGUCGCCCAGGCCGGAAUGCAGUGGUGUAAUCUCAGUUCACUGCAACCUCUGCCUCCUGGGUUCAAGUGAUUUUUCUGCCUCAGCCUCCCAAGUAGCUGGGACUAUAGGCACUAGCCACCACACCUGGCUAAUUUUGUAUUUUUAGUAGAGACCAGGUUUUGCCAUGUUGGCCAGGCUGGUCUUGAACUUUUGAACUCAGGUGAUCUGCACUCCUUAUCUGCCUUUCAGAAGUGGAUUUGCAUUUUCCCUUCCUGGGCUUGUCGCUGGAGGCCAGCCAGCCGCCUCUGAGGACUGCUAGGAAAGGAGCCUGAUUAUGCAGAUCUUUUAUGGCCUGCAGCUGUCACCAGCUUUCCAUGUAUAAGUGAGACAGAUGACAGUAGUGACUCCUGCUGUGCUGACUGGGGAUCCCUAUCCUGGUCUUGUCUGCUCCAUCAGCCUCCUCUGCCUACUUUGCUUCUAGUGCAAAGCCUGGUUGGUCUUGGUCUGACUGGGCCUCUGAGUGUCUCCUGGGGUGAAAUUUUGACAUCUAAGCAAAAGGGGCAUAACCUAGCUAAGAUGAGGGCCAGGGGAGCCCUAGGAGUAUUGCCUACCAUCUGUCACACCCACCUGAAUCUGAGCACUCUCUCCAAGAGGGAGUGACUCAGAGAGGGCCAGGCUCCCUUCCAUGUAGAGCAGUACCUGCCUCUGGAACCGCUGGGUCCAUUUCACACAGAGGCAGGACAUGAACCUUCAUAAAUGACCAACAGAGGCCCUCAGUAGACCCCAGCUCAAGAAAUAAGACUGUAGUGCAGCUGCCAGGAUAUGAGGUGAGACCCAGGAACCCUGGGCUGAGAGUGUCCUCCAUCUGGCACGAGGAGAGCCUGGGUUCCUUGGUGCUAACUUGCUGUUAGAGUGACUGUGAUAAUAAUAAUAUUUCCUUCAUGGAGAUAUUAUUAUGAAGACUGAGAUCAGAUAUGUAAAGUGACUAGGAGGGUAUCUGGCAUGUGGCAGGUGUUCAGCAAUAGUUAUUCUUUAUCCUGGUCAAGCAGUUGAAAUGUGCUACAUGUGAAGGGAAUGAUGGAAAGAAAUGCCUUUGAUCCACAAAGGCCCAGUGGAAGACAGCAGAACCCCUCUGUACUUCCCAGAAAAUGCUCAGGACUUAAUAGAUGUUCUCCUGCUUGGGCUUCCCCUAUCUCUGCACCGAUCACUCUAGUCAAAAGUAACCUUUCCUAUCUUUGUGUAUACCCAGCAAUGAUAUGUGCCCUACUCCCAUGACCCAUGUCCCCAUGUCCACAGUGACAACUAUGUUGGCUGCUUCUCCACAACCAGGCAGUGAGCUUCUUGUGAAUAGGCAGGAGUGAGUUUUUACUUUUCCCUGGGUCCCCACAGUUCUUCCCUCUCAUGGUGCAAUGCAAAUAAGGCAUGCUGGAAAAUUUCUGCAUCAUGUUUAUGUAUUUAUUUAUGUAUUUAUAUGCCAGCUCAUCUCUUGGAGAUUUUGAGGCAACUUCAAAUUUAAACACAAUAAAGUAAUGGUAACAUUAAAGUAAGAUAUAAAGAAAAGUAAAAGGUGUGCCUUGGUGAAAAGAACAAAACUAUGCAGCUGACUACUUUGAAAUAGUUUGGAGUUCCUCAAACGGUUAAAUAUAGAAUCACCAUAGGACCCAGCAUUUCCACUCCUUGGUAUAUACCCAAGAUAAUUAAAAAUAUAUUUCCACAAAAAACUUAUUCUCCAAUGUUCAUAGCAUUAUUUGUAGCAGCCCCAAAGUAGAAACUCCCAGAUGGUCAAUGACGGAUGAAUGGAUGGCCAAAAUGUGUUGUCUUCAUCCAGUGGAAUAUUAAUGCAUGCUAUAACAUGUAUCAAUCUUCAAAACGAGUGAAGUCAGUCACAAAGGCCACAUAUUAUAUGAUUCUGUUCAUAUCAAAUGUGCGGAAUAGGGAAAUCCAUUAAAGACAGAAAGUAAACUAGUGAUUGCCAGGUGCGAAGGGAAGAGGCAAAUGACUACUAAUGGGUAUAGGGUCUCUUUUUGGGGUGAUGAAGCAUUAGAUAGUGUUGAUGGGUGUACAACUUUGUGAAUUUACUAAAAACUACUGAACUGUACACUUUAAAAGUGUGAAUAUCAUGGUAUGCAAAUCUGUCAGGGACUGAAUGUUUGUGUCCCUCCAGUAUUCAUACAUUGUAGCCCUUGACCUGAUAGGAUAUAGGAUUAGUGUCCUUAUAAGAAGAGAUAUCAGAGAGUGAGCUCUCUAUGGCUUGCUUUCUCUUUCUUGCUUUUCCUCUCUCUGAGCACUUGUACAGAGGAAAGACCAUGUGAAAACUUAGGGAGAAGGCAACCAUCUCCAACCCAAGGGAGAACCCUCACUAGACACCAACCCUGCUGGCACUUUGAUCUUGGACUUCCAUCCUCCAGAACUGUGGAAAAUAAAUUUUGGUCAUUUAAACCAUCCAGUCUGCAGGAUUUUGUUAUGGCAUCCCAAACAGGCUAAGACAAAAUUAUAUGUCAACUUUUCAAUGUAAAAACAGUAAAGAAACAAAUAUGUGGCUGGUAAACACUGCAUCAUUGAUGUAGUUAAAUUCCAACUUUGCCUGAGCUUCCUAGUAGCCAGAGUUGUAAAGGAAGAUGCCAUCAUUCACACCUAUCAAAAGGAGAAACCUCUAGAUGUCAGAGGAAGCAAGGCUUUAAAUGGUUCAGCAUGCCCAAAGAAAUGUCACAUGGGAGGCUGAUGUUAGAAGUAUUGAAACAUACUGAAUUAAUGAAUCAGUCAAGAGAGGAGGCAGGUAACUUUUUGUGUUUAAGCAGCUAGUUAUGGGGGAUAAGGGAGGAUACUGAUGGCAUUCUACCCAGAAGGCUAUUGACAGGUGGAGGGCAUUAUUUCUGGACAACAGUAGGAGAUUGUGAGGGGAGCUGAAGUGUGGGUAGGGUUGGUGUCCUUGGUCCCGAGUGGUCAUUUCCUCCUAAACCAGUGUCAUUCUAGCAACACCAUUACUUCCAGGCAUGUCUGUUUUAUGCUGAAUUGGGUAGCACUGUUCUUUCUUUCCCUUUUCCUAGUCUGCCGUGACUCUGGCAGGCUCGAUCAUUUUUAAAAAGCAGCACAAAACAAGGACUCAUUUCUGCACUGCUUUGACAGUGGGAGUAAUUUGGCUUCCCAAAUUAAUCUGAAAUUAUCACUGCAGAGCUUUGCCAACCCUUCCUUAGGGCCAGAGGGCAGAAGCGAAGGCAACUACAGAACUCCUCAGCCCAGAUCCCAUUUUUUGGUUUAUUUUAGGUAAAUACAACCUGGAAUUCAGCAAUUUUAUCUCAGAAACACCAGAGAGCGCUGCUGCACUGUAGGAGAGCCAGCAACCACCUUGCCUUUCAAUUGUGUCCCCCAGUCCCAGGCACUGACUGGGGAGUCAGCCACUCCAGAGCAGGCUAAUUUUCAGGGACACUCUUAAACUUUCAGACCUGAGAACCCAACACAACGAGUCUCAUACCAGGACACAAAAGCCAGUAAUUUCCUGCAGAGCACAAUGGAGUAAAACUACCACUGGAGAGACUCCCAGAGCACCCUACAGAAGGCCUGGCCCCAGACUGAUAGCAAGCCCUGAGCAGCCCAGAUCCUGGCGGACAGUAAGGCUGCUGCACCCAGGGUUUCACCUACUGACUGCUGACUUGACUGAUCUUCCAUGACCUUACUUUCUCCUUGGCCCUCUUCCCCUUCUCCACCCUGCAUGUGAGACCACACGUUGCAUGGGGAGUUGGGAGGAGAGUAGAUGACAGUGUCAGGGCCAGUAGGGCAGCCCUUUCCUGUAGGAAGCCUGGAGUAUGCUCUCCUUGCCUCACUCACUCGCAUAGGGGAGGCUUGGAGGUCCCAGAAGCACCCCGUGCCACUGAAAAGGCAGAUCUCAAUGCUGCCCAUUCUGUAUAACUGGGGAUGCCACCACCUAGCACAAGUCCCACCUUGUUCCCAUUCCCAUAGAUGGAGCUUCUUUGGCUUCACCGUGACUCUCUGCCCUUGUGAUCCAGGUGGUCCUUCAGGUCUUCCUGGGAUAUGAGCCUGCGGUCAGAGUCCUCUGUUUUGGGGAGGCCUGUUUGGUUUUUGGUGUGUGUCUACCUAGCAGAGCUACAUGUUGGGGUUUUCAGAUUUUGGGAGGAUCAUCACACAGAUGGAUUCUGGGGACUUCAAACAUGCAGACAGUAGGCUUUGCCCUGUGAUCUUGGAGCCACCGGGGACUAGGAGAUUGCAAUUUCUGUCCUAAGAUCCUCCAACCUCCAGUUUCCAACAUCACUGGCCUGAAGCUCCCUAUGCCUCUACACAAAUGAACUUCAAGAAAAUCUUGCCCCUCUCCUUCCCCCUGAAGUAAGGGGAGCAGCUUCCUCUCACUGGGGCCUGCUGAAGAGUAUGCUAUCUGCUGGGACCAUGUGGCUCCAGCAUUUUCUUCCCUCCUUCUCUCCUCCCUCCUCCCAUCUGCAGACACUGAGGCUGAGCCCAUGGCACGGGGCUCUUCACAAAUAGAGGAGUGGAGGUGUAAUAAUUCCAUCCUGGCAGCCUGAUGAAGGGUGUACACACCUUCAACUAAGAGAGCACAGCAUCUCCAAAGCCAAUUAGUCCUCCAGACUCUUAAAAAGCAAUCAGAGUCACCUAACCAGAUUCAGACUUUUGAGGCAAGAAGAAUCAUUAGACUUCUAUUAAAGGGGCAUUAUUAAUAAUGACACUGUGACAAUAGAGACACACUGGGGUGGUAUUGAGUAAGCUAGAAUAUAUUGUCACUCUAGAGAUGAUGGGAAUUUGUGUCUCCUGUCCCAGAGAUACCCCUCGCCUCUGCUUCUCUCAUUUGCCCAUUUGCUGUGCUCAGAAAACAUACUGGGGGCUCUCACUCCUGCGGAUGACCCUGAUCAACUUGUCCGGAGCUCACCUCACUCCUUCCCAGGAAAAGGGCUCUGCUGAGGGCCCCAGGGACCUCCUCCUGACCUUGUAGCUGAUGAGUCUUCCUCGUGCAGCCUGACAGGAGAUGGGCCUGCUAUCAGUGCAGGGAGGCUCCGGACUGUGCUUAGCUGAUAGGCUCUGGGGUGUGCUCUGACUCAGGGUGAGACCAGAUGGGCCCAAUGAUGACGGGCUGGCACUGAACCCUCCCUGUCUGGCAUGAGCCUCCCCACCUGUGUACUGGCCACAGUGACUACCGUAAGUUCCUUCACAGGCCACCAGGCUCAAGAAGUCUUAAGCCUACAAAGCUCAGAUCAGACAUCCUCAGGCUGCCCUUCCCCUAAAAUGUCCUCCUCUGUGCCUCUCUCAAACCCUGUGUUCCUGAGAAUGUGUCUUGGCUAUUGUGCGGCUGGUUCUUAAUGGCUCCAGCUCUUCUCCUCCACCAUAUUUCAGGGUUCAGCAUAGAGGUGGCUCCUGUGAGUGCCUGCCCUCAUAAGUUCCUGUGAGCAAGUCUCUAUGAGUGAUUUGCUCCAAGAGCUACAGCUACAGCUCCAUCCCAACACACAUAUAUUCAAGGGCUUUGGAAGCACAGCCCAAUGGCCCAAUAUUUUCUGUUUCUGGGCCUUUCAGAGGGUUGGAGGGAGGAACCCCGUGUCCCAGAAGCCAUUCCUACCUAGUAUGAAAGCCACCACAUAAUUGGAGAUCUGGCCCAUGCCCACAAUGACAAAUAGCACAGUGAACAUCUCCCAGCUGAUGGAGAAAAUCUGCAGGAAGCUGAAGCCAGUCUGUAUAGCCAUAGUUGCGAAGAGAACAUUUUUCCUGCCGAACCUAGAAAAUGCAGUAUAAUACAAAACAUGAGAGGUGUAGGUUGCCAAGGUAUGUUGCAAACCCUGAGUCAGGCAUCAAUGCAGACUUAGUGUUUUUUCAGGGCUUUGGCAGACUUUUUCCCCUGUCACAUCUUCUCAUCUUCCUCCUUGGUGAGGUCUCAGGCAUCUCUCUGCUCAGGAGAUAGCUUUGAGAUUCUCAGCUUCCUGUGGAGUCACUAUGUUUCAAAAGCAUGGAACUGAGUCUGCAAGGACCAUGUGGAAAUAUGCUGUUUAGAAGGAGCCAGAGAUGGAUGCUGCCAGCACAUUUCUGGAAAGUGAGUACAGCGCAGACUACAGAUAUUUCUUGAAUCAGCAACAUGAAACUUCUGUAAAUCCAGAACUAAGAGUCACUUGGCAAGUGGUUUUCAAUUUUGACUGCACUUGGAAUCACCUGGAGAGCUUGAAAAAAUACUGAUGCCAGCCGGGCACGGUGGCUCACCCCUAUAAUCCCAGCACUUUGGGAGGCCAAGGCAGGUGGAUCACGAAGCAAGAGAUCGAGACCAUCCUGGCCAACAUGGUGAAACCACAUCUCUACUAAAAAUACAAAAAUUAGCUGGGCAUGGUGGUGCGCACCUGUAUUCCCAGCUACUCGGGAGGCUGAGGCAGGAGAAUUGCUUGAACCCAGGAAGCGGAGGUUGCGGUGAGCUGAGAUCACAUCAUUGCACUCCAGCCUGGGUAAUAGGAGUGAAACUCCGUCCCAAAAAACAAAACAAAAAAAAUACUGAUGCCUGCACCCCACCUCCCAAGAUUUCGGGAUACAGUUUCAGUAUUAGAAUUUUGGAAAGUUUCCCAAACAAGUAGUGUGCAACCAAAAUUGCAAACCACUGCUCUGUGGGAAGAUGUAGCUUUCAGCAAUGUCUGUUGGUGACACUGCAGUUGGUUUGUUACCUUCACAUUCUGGUAGUGACCUUCACAUUCUGGUAGUACCAGUGGGUAGACUGGAGCAUGGGUAUGAGCAGCAUGGCCUCUCCUGCCCCAUUCUCCAAACUCACGUUUCUGGCUGUUGGCUUGGGCUGGGAAGCUUUCCCCAGCACUGCCAUUUAGCAUUCCCACCUUCCUGCACUGGUCACCAUAGCACAUCCAGGGGCCUGUGGAACACUUUCUACCGGUGCUGUGAUGCUGCCUCCUCAGGCCUGUAAGUGCUAUGAGGCCCAGAGCCAGCAUCAGCUCUGUGGCCCUAGUGCCCAACCAGGGCCCAAUGCACAGCAGCAGUGCAUGCAAAGGCUCACUGUCUGGUUGCUGGCUGUCCUAGCAGACAGAUCCUGUGCCAUCCACCCCUGCCCCUGACGUGGUGGUGGAGCAGGGAGGGCAAUGGUGAUGGCAGCAUCAUGUUUUGUCAAGCAGUCUGUGGUAUGAGGACAUCACUGAACAGUGGGGUCAGUGGCCCCUCCCCACAAUCUGCCAAAGCCCUGGGAGUAUGAGGCUGGGAGAAGGGAACAAAAGUGUGUCCAGGCAAAGGGGACUGAGAACAGGGUGAUUAAGAGAUGUUAGGGCUCUUCCUUUCACGGACUCAGUGGCCUGAGGAUCCUCCCUUUCUCUGGGUAGAAAUACCCUGUAUUCAGUCCAAUCCCAAGAUAGGUAGUGAUUGACAAGGGGUGCCAUCCCACCUUCCUCCCCUCCCACAUCCUUACCUGUCUGACAGCUGCCCAGACACAAAGGAGCCGAGGAGCACGCCUACGAAGAACAGGGAGGUGGUGAGAGGCACCUUCCAGUCGUCCCCACACACCAGAUUCCACUGCCAAGGAAGACAGCAUGCAGCGUGAGCCCAGCCUGAGGCAGACCUCAACCCCAGCCCAGCUCCGAGGGGAUAUUAACACAGCUGCUGGGCAGAGUCUCCUCCCCUGUGCCAGGCUAUUGCCUUUGUGCAAAGGGCAUAGGCCUUACAGCUCUGGGUUUGACUGGCCCAUGCUGGGACUGCGGCAAGUAACCUGGGGCAUGUCACUGCCCUCCCUGAAACUCAGGAUCCUCUUUGGAAAGGAAGGGUGAUGCUCCUGCUCUGCUUGCAUUACGUAGCAGGAAGCCAGCUGAGGUCAUGGCUGUGACUGGUGAUCCCUCAGCUGUGAAGCAAUCCGAAGUAAAAGUAGCACUGCAUCUUUAGAAGGCAGCCUAGUGUGGAGGGAAGGCGUUUAAAAAGCCCAAAGGGCAGGGCAGAGGGCAUGGCCGCUUGGUCCAGGGGUAAAAUUUCUUUUCCCGUGUUGAAAAGUGCAAUUGGUUCCAGGAGCUCUGUGACUUUAUUUUCUGAGUAGACCCCUCUGAAAAAUCAUGUGGUCCCUGGUCCACUCACGCCUAGGCCAAGCCUGGGGCCUGAUUCAGGGCCCCGCUAUUCUAGGGCCUACUUAACUUACUCCUCUCCAGGGCUCCCUAUUUCCCCUUCCUACAUCCCUACACCCUCCUUCCCAUCUAGUCUUUCCAGAAGUGUGGUUCCUCCCAUUCCCUAGGGCCUGUGGGAUGCUGUUGCCCUAACAAGUCCCUGCCAGUGUGUCUACAAAAUGAGAGUUUCAGCCAGUUUCAGUUUGACCUAAGUCAAUUCAGCAAAAUUCAGGGGAGGUUGCAAAGAUUUCAAAGUGUAUUUAGUGACCUUUCAUUUAUUAACAAAAAAAUAAAUAA